GCAGGAUGUGAUCCACCGACAAGGAGGGACACCAAUAAGGCGUCCGAUAAGAUAAGUCUUAUACCAUAUAGAGAUUUAUGAUAGUUAAGACUGAGCUAACAGAUGAGGAAUCCUAGUCAUUGGCCAAGCAGCUUUAAACCUAAUACAAGUUUCUGUGUAUUUAUUUGGGCCUAACUUGGGCAGGCGUCUGGCGCAGAGCGCACACGUGGCGGUGGGGUGUGGCAGCAUUUGGCAGAAAGUUUUAGCGUAACACCUCCCUUCCUCUCUUGCUUCUUUUCUUCUUUCUUCUCCAUCUUUCUUUUUUAUUUUUCUUUCUUUUGAUAGUGUUGACCAGUAGGUAGCCAGGGCUAGUAUCAAAUUUACUGUCUUCCUGCCUUAACCCUUCAAAUGCUGGAAUUUCUGGAGUCUGCCAGAACGAGGGUUAGAAAUGCAGGGUCCCCUCUCCUCCAAGUCUGAUACAUCCAACUCAUCAGUUUUCACAAUGACAAACAGAAGCCCCAGCCUGCUUCCCUGUCCUAAGGAAUGCUAGGGAGAUUCUAUGUGCAAAACAUUUAGGACAAUGUGUCUUGGGCUCCUUCAAUAUCAGCAUUCAUGACUUUGACAAAUGUAGACUGAUCUGCAACCCCAAAGCUAAUAAGAAGUUACUAGAGGCCUGGGGUUAUCAGAGAAAAACUUGUAUACAAGAAUCCAAAGUAAAAUGCCACCGUGGCCUGUUGAGUUCCACUGUCCCUGCUAACUCCUAUCUCUUUGACACAGCUCUGUUAGGGCCAUCAUCACUGGUGAUGGCUCCCAGAGAUGAGGUCCCACCUAUGACAACAUCUUUAACACCUGCAUCAGCCAAUGCCCAAAGCUAAGUCAAUUCCUGGCCUUUACCUCUUCCUGCCAAACAACACUUCAGAGCUAAUCACCCAGAGUCCGAUCCUGUCAUCUAUUUAUCACUCAGGGCGUUUCUCUCCCUGAUACGCCCUCAAAUCUUUUCUCAUUUCCCAGGCUACUUAAAGGUUGCUUCACUAGGGUAGCACCUUGAAUUCAAUGAUAAAAGGAUGAAGCUGUCCAGUGAUAGCCUUGAGGGCCUGGGAAGGGGCUGGGACUGCAGAGUUCAGAGAGACAACAAAGGUCCUCAAUGCCAGAUCACAUUCUGUGGAUGAAGAGCUGACCCAGGGCUCCAGAUUGCUCCUUGCAAGCUCUAUGGUGUCUGGACGCCUCAGAACUGUGGUGUUUGAUGCCAAGUCCACUCAGUAUUUCUCGUGGCCGGCUGUGACCAUAGCAGCCAUGGACUUAAAACAAUGCUGGAGAUGUUGCUCAGCUCACUUCUGUAGCAAAUGUGGUCAGUUUUGUAAACACCCUGUCAAGAGGGUAUGCUAGGAGCCUUCCAGCACAGGAAUGUCAGUGAAAGGAGGACAGCAGACACUGGUCCUCAUGGAUCCAAAUCCAUGUAUGCAUUGAGAUUCUUUCCCAUCACUUACAUCCAGGGCUUAAAGCUAAUCCCAAACAGCCACCAUAGAUCAGAGGGCAAGCGUCCAUCCUGUGCUGUUGCUGAACUACCUCCCCCAAAUUCACAGUACCUGCCAGUUCCUGUGGUGUAAAUGUUCUCACCAUGGCCUGGGCAUUAGUUGCUUUAUCUCAAUACUGUGGUGAAAAGACUUGACAGAACCCUUAAGGGCUUCUUUUGUCUCAUGGUUUGAGAGCGUGCAGUCCACUGUGGCAGGGAAGGUGUGGAUAUGGGAGUGUGGAACUGUGUUCACCUCUGGAAGGGUCAAGAUGCAGAGAGGUAACUGCUGGAAUCCAUCUGGUUUUCUCCUUUUCCCGGUUUCAUUCAGACUGGGCUCUGGCACUGAGGUUAUAGCUGACAUGAUGAAUGGACUAUCAGUCUCAAUGUCUUCUUGAUUCCAUGCCCACAGAUAUUGUCAUAAGUCUUUGAAGGAGCUUAAUUGGGCAGCUCAUUCCAGUCCAGUUCAGGGUUCAGACAAGGGCACCUGUUUUUCCAGGUGCUUUCACCAUUAUACAAUAUUCCUGUGGGUAGGGGGGUGAGUUACUUGGUAUAGCUCUUGCCUAGCAUGUAAAAAGCCCUGGGUUUCAUCUCCAGCAAUGAAUAAAACUGGGUCUAGUAAUACAUGCAUAUAAUCUCAGCACUCAGGAGAUGGAGGCUCUUAAAUUCAAGGCCAUCUGCAAACAAUAGAGUCUGAGGACAGCCUGGGCCACAUGAGACCCUAUCUAUCUAUCUAUCUAUCUAUCUAUCUAUCUAUCUAUCUAUCUAUCUAUCAUCUAUCUAUCAAUCUACCAUCUAUCUAUCUAUCUAUCUAUCUAUCUAUCUAUCUAUCUAUCUAUCUAUCCAUAUAUCUAUCACCCCCACACAUACACACACAUGAAUGCACACAUACAACAUGCUGCACUGACUGUGCAUGAAUCCACAUGGAUUUCUGGCCGCUUUGCUAAAUUACCUCUAGCAGAAUUUCUUAGGAUCCCCAUUUUUUGGCUCACACAUGUCCUGUGGGAAUUCAUGCUUGAACAGAAUUUCUAAUCUUCUACCAGAGAAUAUUCCUCUUCCAAAGCCCCUGAGACGUCUGCUUUUUGAUUUAAGCAGAAAAUCUGGGCUACUGUGCCACAGUUGGUAAUGAGCUGUGAGGCUCUGUCUGAUACUCUGCCCUUGUGCUAACACUGGCACAAGUUCAAUCUGUGACUGAGGACUCCCUCACUCAAGUCAUCUUUCAGGAGGUAAAUGGGCAGACACUAGUCCAUCCAGACACAGGGUUGCUUUUAGUACCCCCAAAUAUGAAACCACAAUAGCAAGUGAAGUCCAUCUGAAAAGGCUGACAGUGCACUAGAACUGGCAAGUGGGGAGACAGCAGAAGGAUUAGCUGUCCCAGCUGUACACGGUGACACAUCUGUGUUACACAGACAGUCAGUGACACACCUGUGUGACCUCAGCUCCUCAGGAGGCUGAGGCAGGAGUGUUGCAAACCAGAAGCCAGCUAGGGUUGUAUAGCGAGGUUUAUUUCCUCUUACUAACUCCACACUUACACUGUAGAUGUAUAACAGUUACUCAAGGCCAUGAGUCAGGAGUAGCUUGGGUCUCUAAACAGAGCUCCCUUCAGGCCACAUGCUGACAUCCAUACACGUGAGGGGUUUGCUGAGAAAUCAGGACACAGCUGUUCAGGGAAGAGACUCUGGUCACCAUUCAAGGGCCUGUUCUGAGACUACCAGCUAUAAGGACCCACAGGGCCAAGGUCCCACCGCGCUCAUUGACUCCUAGAGAGAGUGAAGUCGAAGAAACAUCUCCCUCCUCUGGCUUUCCACAGAAUGUCUGCCUUUGUCCUGGUUUUGUCAUACACUGGAGGCUUCUGGACUUUGUACACUGUCUCCCUCAUGGAGUUCUUGAGAUGGUUUAUGGGGCUGGGCAGGCAAAACAAGAGAGAUACAGAGUCUUCUAUAGGCAAAGGAACCCCCAUCGCAUCCUCUUGAUAAGAUUUUUGUAAUUAUUUCUCAGAGGAAAAAAAUCCAUGCCCAUGCUGAAGAUUCUAGAAGGCUGGUUGACUGAUUUCCAAGACUAGUAUUGGUAGGGGUGACUGUGCUAAGCCUUACGCAAGGCUGAUUGACUGAUUAGAAAUUCCUUAUUACAGAGAGCUUGGAUAUUGCAGAUCAAAAUCCAGAAUUUCCUGGGGCUGUUUAAUUAAGCCCCUUAUAACUGUCUGUUGCCAGCUUGUAUGUGACCUAACAUCCUAUGGCUAGUGGGUAAGACCUUGGUAUGUAUUGGCAGACUAGCUUCCACCAACCCCAAUGUAUGUCAUCAUAUAAUGGCUAGAACCUGGAACAGAGAUUUCUGCUCAUCUGAUAAGUACCUCUGGGAAUGUACUAGGAGCAGGCACAAGGGUUCCAAAUCAGGGUUGGUGAAAUGACUCAAUGGGAAAAGGUGCUUUCUGCCAAGUUUGGUGACCUCAGAUUGAGUCACUGGACCCACAGGAUGGAAAGAGAGAACUGAAUCCCCUAAGUUGUCCUCUGUUCCCCCAUAUACAACCCAUGCACAUAUGCACUACACACUCAUGUGCACACACAUGCUGUGUGCAUAUGCACUACACAUCAUACACACAUGCACACAAAUGUGCACACAUACAGUGUAUACAUAUGCACUACACACUCACACACACACACAUGUGCACACACACUGUGCACAUAUGCACUACACACUCGUGCACACAAACACAUGUGCACACACACAAAUGUGCAUAUAUACUACAUGUUUUUUAAAAAAGAUUUUCAGUCAACAACUGGACUGUUCCUAGCUUUGACUAUGAAACAUUUGCUGCUAUCAACAUAUGUGGUUAAUGCCUUGCUUUGUGACUUUCUUGUUGUCUGUGACUAUGAAAGAUUCAUGAGACCAAUUCCACACUGAAACAUGUCAAAUACAGGCAACUUGAGUCUGUGUUCCUAGGCCAUGGUCACUCAUAUUUGGCUCAGAGUAAGCACUCUCUUAUUCCCUUUUGUGGAUGGAGGUUCUGUUCCGUCUAGCCCCACCACCCCUCAGUCCUAAUUAACACACAGAGACUUAUAUUAAUUAAAAACUGUUUGGAUGAUGGCUCAGGCUUCUUACUGGCUAGUUCCCUCUUAAUUGUUAACCCAUUUCUAUUAAACUAUGUAUUGCCACGAGGCUGUGACUUACCCAUUAUCUGGCAUGUUACUCCUUGGGCAGCAUGGUGUCUCCCUGGCGGCCUUUCUCUGCCUCCUCUCCUCAGAAUUCUUCUGGUCUCAUAGCCCUGCCUAUGCUUCCUGCCUGGCUACUGACCUAUCAGUGUUUUAUUCAUCAACCAAUAAGAGAAACAUAUAUACAGAAGGACAUCCCCCAUCGCCCUUUGAGAGGAGAGCUGUGUUCUGCAUCCAUAAUUUCUAAUGAAAAAAGAAAGGAAGAAAAAGAAAAGAAAGGAAGAUAAGAAGACAUGUUCCGGUUGUUUUGUUACCAUGUCUGGAUUCUGGCUGAGUCUCCUUGAGGUCUUUUGUCACAAACAGAAGGCUUACUAAGUGUCUCUGUUGCAUCCAUGGGUUCAAUAUUUGUGUUGGUCACUUUCUAUUCUCAUGACAAAAGAGAGACAGAGACAGAGAAUCAACUUAAAAGGGGAAAAGACUUGGGCUGGGGAGAUGGCUGGGACAACAAAGUGCUUGCUGUGCAAACAUGAGGACCUGAGUUCAAUCCUCCAGAACCCACAUAAAAACACUGGGUAUGGUGGUGUGUACUUGUAAUCCUGGUGCUGGGCAGACAGGAACAGGCAGAUCCCUCCCUGGGGCUCUGUGGGCAGUCAGACUCACCUAGAAAAUGGUAUGCCAAGGGUCCCUGUAAGGCACACUGUCUCAAAACAAACAACAAAAGAAACCAAGGAUGACAUUUCAAUGACUGACGCUUGAUGUUGUUAGCCUCUGACCUCCACAUCACAGGUAUCUGCCUACACAUGAACAUGGGCAUACCUGUACACACACACACACACACACACACACACACGUGCUCACAAAAGGAAAGAUUUGGAAUAAUGGUUUUGGAAGUUUCAUUCCACGGUCAGAUGGCUGUCACGGUGGGUCUGUGUUGAGUAAGAACAUCCUGGUGACAGGGGCAUGACAGAGGAGGAUGCUCCUCUUGGCAAGGUUGGUGGAAGACUGAUUGUUUGGAGAUUGAAGACAAUGCUGCAAAAUUUACAGUGUAAAUUCUCAGAACCUCUGUCCCUGUCACCCUAAGCUAACUAUCCUUGGAGGGCCAGCUGAGUGCCUGUGAAAGUGCCCACAGGCUGUCCCUGCUCUUGCUGUGUGUGGUUGACACCUUCUUUUACCCCCAGCAGAGGCACUCAGACCAGUCCCACUACUCAGGGCUCUAGAGGAGUCCCCAGGUGGGGGUGUAUAAACCAGUGUUUUGGUUAAGAGGCAAAUUCUCAGUGGCAUCACCUUUAUCUUUCUUUCUACUUUCCUGAGGGCUGUCAGCAGGGUUGGGGCUUCAGGAAGUUCACAUUUUCCAGGAGUAGAACUGCUGCUGUCCCAUGUGGCUGCAGUCACUGAACCCUAUGGGCAGAAGAAACUGAGGAGUGUGAAACAUGACCUGUGUGAGUUUGAGGGCAGCUGCGGUGCUGGAGAGACCAGCUAAAGAGUGCCACUGGGACCCAUUUGGAAGAACAAUGUGAUGAUAUAUGUCCAUUACGAUUCAGACAAAGCAAACUCAUGAUUUUCAAAAGUAGAAAGCAGACAUCAGGGGCUAGGAAACUACUUCCAUCAAUAAGAUACUUGCUGAACAAGCAUGAGGACUUGGGUUCUAUCCCCAGAACACAUAAAAAUCCACGUGUGGUGGAGUGUGCUUUGAUUCUAGUGGUAGGGGACAGAACCAGACACAUCCUUGGGGCUCCUGGGCUACCCAUCCUGGCCAGUGUGGAAAAAAAAAACGAGAAUGAGAGAAUCUGUCUAAAAACCCCGGGUGAGCAGAGGCAGAGAACCGACACUCAAGCAUCCCCUGGACUCCACAUACAUGUACACAUCCCUACAUGCAUACAUACACACAUAUGUAUGUACACACACAGAGAAAGCAGACUUCAGAGAUGAAUACCUCUAGAUCUGGACAUCUUCCCUGCUCUGGCUUUAGUGCUCUGGGACAUGAGAGUAUACCAGUGUGACGCUGAUUCUGGUUGUCAGCUUGAUUGGAUUUGCAAUCAAUUAAGAGACAAGUUGCUGGCACCUGUGAGGGAUUUUCAGCAUCAGGUUACUUGACAUGAGAAGACAAACUCUGAGUUGGGCAGGACCUUCCUUUGGUAGGCAGCCAGAUAAAAGGAGGUAGUGAAGCUUGGAGGAAGGGCAGUGAGCUUUGUUUCUGCCUCAUUGCCUUCCCCUCAGCUGGUGAGUUCAUCCACCCUGCAUUUCUUCACUGAUAUCAAAACCCAGCUUCUUCAGGAUCCUGGAAUGCACUAAAGACCAGCAGCUCUCCAGGAAUCCUCAAGGCCUUUGAUGCCAGGUUGGGACUCCUGGGGCAUCCAGAGUCAUGGACAGUGGCCCCUGGGUUCUCAGCCUCUCCAGUGUGAGACAGCCAUCCUUGUGCUACCCAAGCCAUACAGUGUAAGCUAAUUUAGUAAGCUCCCUUUCUCUGUUCCUCCUAUUGGUCAGAGAGCCCUCACUAAACCGUCCAGGAUUGUUCUGGCAGGUGUUAAGUGAUGCCUUGCCAUGUGAAUUUUAAUCUAGAUCCCCCAGCCUACUAAUCAUGUUGUAUUUUGAUGCUUACAUCUGAUCAUGCUGAGUCCAAAGAUUUAGCUUUUCUCUUUCCCCAGUUUAAAGCCCUGGCAAAAUCGCCUGCACUUAAAAAACAAUAGCAGAAAAGUGGACCAUUGGAUCAAAAAGCUGAGCAGAGGACCCCUCGGAUUUGUCCAGGUGUCCCCCUGAUUGUCAGGCACAAUUGCAGCUUCCCAUGUUAUCGCUUCCCUGCUCUGUCUGUGCUCUUUAAACACUGGUUACACCCAGGUAAACUGAUACACAUCAGGAAGAAAUCACUUCAGGUUCAUAUGUCCUGUGACUCUGGAGUUACUGGAAAAAAAAUCAACGAUGAAAUAUUGAUACAUUACCUACCUGGUAGAAAAGAGCAUGGAUGCGCUGGGGUCACAAGCUCUUCACAGGCAACCUUUCAAAUGUCUCAGGACACUCAGAUCAGGAAAUGGAGUCACUAACUCAAGCCACACUUCACAGGGGGAUCCUCUGCAUUCGCUGGCUGGCUGACAAGGCUGCCGAUCAAACAAGCCAUCAGUAAGGAAACACUUCUCCAUGUUCAGAAAGGGGACUGAGUAUGAACAUGGCAGAAGACAGAAUGGGCUGACCUCAGAGGGGGAUAACAUCACGUUAUCCAAAAGAGCUGGCCACUAGGAGACCAGCAAUGUUGUGGUGAUAGUUUCCUUGGACAGUCCUGAUUUAGCAGGACAGUGUGGUUUGCAGUUACUGGAACUUGCUGCUUGGUCAGGUCACUGUGUUGACCUGGUCCAUGGAGUGAAGUGCCUACAAUCCUAGGGCCACUGAUGGCCAGGGUAGACUAACUGAUGAUCAAGUUUAUUGGCCACUGAUGCCCCAAAGCAGUUGGAUGCCCUGGUCAUGUCAGAGCAGCAGACUGCCUAUGGAACUUGUGACAAGGCCACACAGUGAGGGUGGGCAGAUGGACCCAGCUGCUCCUGACCCAAAAGACUGCUGGAGAGGUUGAGUUCACCAGACACAAAGGAAACCCCACAGGACAACAGUGGGGGCUCCUACUACUUCAUUGUCUAACUGUGGGACCCCCCAGAAUGGUUCCCAGAACAUGGUGACUGACCUCCAAGUACUUGCUGAAUGAACAAAUACAGGAAAUAGAUGUAUCCCUUUUUCAGUUGAAUGAAUGAAUAUAGGAAGUAGAUGGAUGGCUUUUUCAGUUGGAUGAAUGAACAAAUGAAUGAAUACAGGAAGUAGAUGGAUGUUUUAUUCAGUUGAAUGAAUGAAUACAGGAAGUAGACAGAUGGCUUUUUCAGUUGGAUGAAUGAACAAAUGAAAGAAUACAGGAAGUAGAUGGAUGGUUUUUUUUUUUCAGUUGAAUGAAUGAAUACAGGAAGUAGACAGAUGGCUUUUUCAGUUGAGUGGGAAAAAAAGAAGAUCCAAUAGGCAAAAGUCUCGGGCAAUAUGUACCAGAAGAGCAGAGAACCUGAAUUGCUAUUUUUCAAGUGCACAUAUGAAUGCAUAUGUGUCCGUUUAUGUGUGAGAAUGUACAUGUGUUGGGGGCAUGUGUACACAUGUGGAAGGGCACAGAUAUACAUAUGCAUCUGGAGACCAGAGGACAGCCUUGGGUGUCACCCUCAGGAAUGCUUUUUACCUCCUUUGGCACAGGGUCUCAUGCUGGCCUGCAGCUCAUCAAUUAAGCCAGGCCUGCUGGCCAGCAAUCCCCCAGAGAUCCUCCUGUCUGUGUAUCCCAGCCUUGGGAUUACAGGUGUGUCUCCCAAUGCCCAGAUUUUUAAGUGGGAGGUAGAGAUUGAAUUUGGGUCUUCAUGCCUAUGUCAUAAGCACUUUCUCAAUUGAGCCAUUUUCCCAGCCUGAACCUGGUUUGGAUGAGAACUCCCUGCCUGAAGUGGCAUGGGCUUACAAACACAGUGUGUGGGGCUCUUCUAACAGUAUCCCACUGUGGGCCUCCUUUCCUGUGAAUUUAUCUCAUGGAGCAGGGCGGCCAUCUCAUUUCACACAAGGCCCCUGUGUAUUCUUCUUUAUUGUUUUAUAAGCUUUCAUUCCCUCCUGGCAUAACACCAUGGUGUCUCACCUCUAUUUCUACCACGAACAAGCUCCCAUUCCUUCCUAGCAAAUACCUACACUGCUGUGUCUCUGCCAUGCACGUUCCAGAUGUCCCGUGCCUGUCCAGGGUGGCAGGCAAUCGGUACCAGAGUCCCAGUUUGGUGGACUGAUCCAUCUAUAACUCCUUGUGAGAAUUUUCAAUAUUGUUCCUGUGUAUAGCCUAAUUUAAAUAUGUUCUUUAUAUGACUAAUGUUGACUUAAUAUAAAACGCAUUACUUAUAUAGAGCUUAGCAAUGUUCACUUGAAGAUAUUAUAAUAGAUGUGAUAAUAUCAGAAAACAGUCCAUCUUCCCUUUUUGUUUUUCUUUAUUCUGCCCUGCUUUUGGCAAGCCAUCCAGGGUGCCUUCUUCUCCCCAUACUGCCUUAUCCUACUCCAUAGCAUGCACGUGACAUUUGGCUCCCAACCCUCUAAGAACUGUCAGAGUUAUUUGUCAACUUGACAGAAAUCGAGAUGUGCUUGGAGAGAGGAAGUCUCUGCUGAGGAAUUGCCUCCAUCAGAUUGGCCUCUGGGCAUUUCGGGGGGGGGGGACAUUUUCUUGAUUGCUGAUUAAUAGGAGAGGGCCCAGCCCACGGUGUGCAGUGCCAUCCCUUGGCAAGUGUGUCAGGUCUAUAUAAGAAAGCACCUGGACAACUAGUAAGCAGCAUCCCUCUGUGGCCUCUGCAUCAGUUCCUGCCUUGACUUACCUGGACGAUGGACUAAAAACUAUAGAAUGAAAUAAAGCCUUUCCUCCCAAGCUGCUUUUAGGUCUUAGUGUUUACUAUAGCAAUGGAAAUGUAAGACAGCCAGUAUCUGUGUACAUUCUUGGUGGCUAUCCGUGAGAAACCCUGUUAUCUAGUCACCUCUAGUCGAACGUCAAAAAUACCAAGCACAUGGCAUGACACUGUUGGUUUGACUUUUGCUUUAAUUUCUAGCACAUUACAGCUUAUCUUUAAAUACUUGUUAGCUCUUCAGUUCUAUGAAUGGCUAAUUCAUGUGCUUUGCCAAUAUGCUAAUGAUUUCUGAUUUUUUUCAUGGCUUUCUUAAACAUCAAACACAAAUUCCUUAUAAGUUUUUAGAGACUGAAAAUUAUUUUUCUCAUCUUAUUCAUCUUACUCUCUCUUUUUAUUCAGUUUUAAUUUCUUUUUGGUGUGUGUCUGUGUGCCUGUGAUGUGUAUGUUGGGCCUGUAUGCAUACAUAGCAAAUGUGUAAAGAAGGUCAAAGGAAAACUUCAUGGAGUCACUUUUCUUCUAUCUUUAUGUGGGUUUGGGGGAUCAAACUUGGGUGGUUGGACUUGUAUUGCAGUGUUUUUACCUGCUAACUGGCCUUAUAGCUCUCUCUCUCUCUCUCUCUCUCUCUCUCUCUCUCUCUCUCUCUGUGUGUGUGUGUGUGUGUGUGUGUGUGUGUGUGUGUGUUGAUUUUUUUAAAGACAGGAUAUCACAUAGCUCAGGCUAGCCUUGAGCUCACUAUAUAGCUGAAGAUGACCUUGAACUCCUGAUCCUGCUCCCUCUACUUCCUAAGCACCGGGACUCUGGGCUUGUGCCACCAUGCCCAGUUUAUAUAGUGCAGGGGAUGGAACCCAGUUUUGUGUAUGCUAGAUAAGCUAUCUACCAGCUCAGACACACCCCUAGCCUUUAAUGUGGUUGUUUGUUAUUAAUUUUUAAAAAAGAAAAAGCAAAACUAUUUUUUGAGACAGAGUACUGUGUUUGAUAACUCAACUCCACAUAGCUGAGGACUUUUCACUCACUUUUAAUUUUGCCUCCACCUUAAGAAUGUUGUGAUUAGAAAUUUGUGCCAUCACCCUGGUUGGUGUAGGACUGGGAAUCAAACCAGGGACUCCUGCCUGCUGGGUGAGUACUCCACCAACUGAGCAGCAUCCCUGAUACCCUCAGAAUAUAAACACGCACAGAGCUGCGGCACCAGAUGAAGCCCCUCCUUUGUAGUGAGCCCAUCAGUCUCUGACAGGAGCUUGUCACUCAUCAGUACCAUCCUCCCAAAAGACUGACAGCUGGGAAGCCUAUAUGAAACUGAACUAGGCCCUCUGAAUGGAAGGUCACAGCAGCUUACAGCAUCACAGCCAGGAAUCAGAGAGCAAGACAGGAAAUGAGUAGGUAACAACCACUCCCAAGAUCUGUACCUAGUGACCUCCUUCCUUCUGCUCAGCCAGCCCCCAUAACCAUUCUGACUGGAGUGAAGGGGUCUCUAAGAGAGACACUAUGCCCCUUCCUUUGGCAAUCAGACUAUUAAAACGAUGGUCUCCUAGAAAUUUGAAUUUCCCAGGAGUCUCUUGUUGGGUGAGAAAAAUGAAGCUGGUGACAGCCAGAGGGACAGCUUGUCUCCCAGGAAGAGAUGUCAUCCAGUUCUGACAACCUGCAGCACAGACUGGAGCCGAAAACCGAUGAAACUGGGAUCACACAAGCAAGUCACUGUUCCGGGCUUUAGUCCAUGGGCUCUGUGGGUGGAGCUCAGUUCCUCACAUUUGCACAGCCGACACUUUAAUGACGGGGCUGACUCCCAGAGCAGGCUGACCCCUGUUCUGAAAUCCCCCUUAGUGAAAGAAAAUGACUAAGAAGUCAAUGUGACCAGCUGCUUCAUGCUCCUGCCACCAUGCCUUCCCCAGCAUGAUGAACUAUACCCUCAAACUGUGAGCCAGAGCCAACCAUUUCUUCCUCAUGUUGCUGUCAUCAGAUAAUGUUGUCACAGCAAGGAGACAAGUAACUGGCACAAACCUCUAGACUCCCUUGUUGAGAUCUUGUUUUCUCAGGUGGUGGCACCAUUUUGGAAGAUUCUGGAAACUUUAUAAGAUGCUUACCUGCCUAUCUGGGGACAUGUGUCAUGGCACCCAUGGAGAUCACAGGAUAGCAUGUUGGAGUCAGUUCUCUUCUCCCAUCUUCACUGGGCUUUCAAGACAUCAUCAUCUGCUGUUCUCUUGCCAUUUUGUGUAUUUUCAACACAGUCAAGGAUCAUUGCUUGCUAAUCUUCACUGGUUGAAAUGUUUCUCAAAUGAAAUUAGCUCUUUGAUUUGAUUUAGUACUUUCUUUUACAUUGUAUUUUGCUUAUUAUUAUAAACAGACUUUCAAAUAAUUCAUACUGUGAAGUAUCCUAUUCAUUUCUGUACUUUAAGAAUGGUGUGGGACAUGCUUGUUUUGAAAUUUCUUACAGAUGGUACAUAGUUGCAUGUCUAUCUUCAACCUAGUUUUAAUUUUUAUUAUUUUAUGUGUAUGGGUCUUUUGCCAACAUGCAAGUCUGUGUAUCAUGUUUGUGUCUGGUUCUCAUGGAGGCAAAAAAAAAAAAAAAAAAGCAUUGGGACCAUUGGUAGUGGAGUUAAGGUUGUGAGCCACCACAUGGGUGCUGGAAAUCAAACCCAGGUCCUCUUCAAGAGCAGCCAGUGCUCUUAACCGAUGAGCCAUUUCUUCAGCCCCUUCAACUCAGUUUUUUGUAAUAACAAUUAAUGUAAGAGACUAUGAAUUUGAAAGAGAGCAAGAAGUGGUAUAUGGGAAAUGAUGUAAUUAUAAUCUCAAAAAUA
ensembl:lncRNA